ACUCGUAACGGUGGAUGUCUCGGUUCCUACAUCGAUGAAGAACGUAGCAAACUGCGAAACGUAAUGCGAAUUGCAGAUCUCGUGAAUCAUCAAAUCUUUGAACGCAAGUUGCGCUCGCGGGUAACCCUGUGAGCAUGUCUGCUUGAGUGUCCGCACAAAUCCGAUUUUGGCAUUCCGCAACUGUUGAGAAAUAAUUAUUUUUCCGGUUGCUAAGAGUGCCGCUGAUGGGUGCGUCCGUGUUGAUUUUUUUUUCUGUUGAUUCAGAAAAAUUGAUGCGGUCACCUGGAAAAGAGAUGGGGCGAUUCUCAAAAAUCAGGUUUUCUGGUUUUCGUCGCGCGUUUCACGACAGAGUAGCGGGUUUCUGUUUUCUGAGCAGGGAAAAAAGUAUUUUUCCGAUCACUGCGGAUGGAUGGUUUCGGCUGUCUGUUUCUGUUGGGGGUCGACGUAGUAUUUUUUUUUUUCGGCGACGGAAAUGAAUCGUGAAAAAUCGUGUUGUGCGCGGUGCAAUAAUCGAAAAACUGGUUUCGUCGUUCUUUGUACGAAAGAAUACCGUUGUGGGCUGGUCGAAGAUAGUUUUCUGAGCAACGGCUUUUUGGCCGCUGCGCUUGCAGAAGAUACUUUUUCCGGUCGCUGCGAAUUGAUGGUUUCGACUUUCUGUUCUGUGGCGGGUGACGUAGUAUUUUUUUUUGCGAGAUGGAAAAUGUUCUCCCUGUUCCAAAAUUCGGGAAAAUCGUGCGUGUGCGAUGCAAAAAUUGAGAGUUGGCGCCCAGUUUUUUGCAGAGUUUUGUGAUAGAAACUCUGAAAACAAUCAUUUACUGGAUCUCAAGUCAGACAAGGCGACCCGCUGAAUUUAAGCAUAUAAUUAAGCGGAGGAAAAGAAACUAACCAGGAUUCCCCUAGUAGCGGCGAGCGAAGCGGGAAAAGCCCAAUAUGAAAAGCCAGCUUGCUGGCGUUGUAGUUUGAGCGGCCUGCAGCUGUCAGUCUGGGAAAGUGGCAUGGAAAUGUCCACCGUGGAGGGUGAGAGUCCCGUCCAUCCCAGUCAGGGCAGUUGGUACGUGGCCGUUUCAGUCGAGUCGGGUAGCUUGGGAAUGCUGCUCUAAUCGGUGGUAAAUCUCAUCGAAGGCUAAAUACUGGUAGGAAACCGAUAGCGCACAAGUACCGUGAGGGAAAGGUGAAAAGCACUUUGAAAAGAGGGUGACAAGAACCUGAAACCGUUACGAGGGAAGCGGAUUGCAUCGAGUUGAUGGGUGUUUGCGCUUUCAGCCGGAAAAUUUUUUUUUUGGUGGACUGGCGCAGACACUUACCGUCGUGAGUUCUUGGCUGCCGAACCAACGGCGUGCCGAGGACUGUGGGAUCCCCUUUAUUGGGUGAGGACGAUGGGGCAGCGGUGCGAUACGACCCGUCUUGAAACACGGACCAAGGAGUCUAGCGGUGCUGCGAGUCGAAGGGACGUUUAAUCCUUGUAGGCGCAGUGAAAGCGAAUUACCAUAAGAAAUUGUGCUAAUUUGAGGGGGCAUGAGGUCGUUGACCAGAAAGUCCCACCUGGAGCAGUAGCGCUAGGACCCGAAAGAUGGUGAACUAUGCCUGAGUAGGGCGAAGCCAGAAGAAAUUCUGGUGGAGGCUCGUAGCGGUGCUGACGUGCAAAUCGCUCGUCGAACUUGGGUAUAGGGGCGAAAGACUAAUCGAACCAUCUGGUAGCUGGUUCCCCCCCGAAGUUUCUCUCAGGAUAGCGGGCUGACAUGACGUUUGUUUUGUGCGGUAAAGCGAAUGAUUAGCGCAUUUGGGGGCGUGCAGCCUUCUGGCGAUUCUCAAACUUUAAAUGCGCAAGCUGGCGCCGCUGCUUAAUUGAGCGGUUUUAGCUAGAAAAAAACGUCAGCCCCGUGGGCCACUUUUGGUAAAGCAGAACUGGCGAUGCGGGAUGAACCGAAAGCGUAGUUAAGGCGUCAAAUUGUCCGCUUAUAGAUCCCACAAAAGGCGUUGGUUCAUCGAGACAGCAGGACGGUGGCCAUGGAAGUCGGAAUCCGCUAAGGAGUGUGUAACAACUCACCUGCCGAAUGAGGUAGCCCUGAAAAUGGAUGACGCUUAAGCGGGCAGCCGAUACUACGCCGUCGAUUUUAGUGAAAAACAAAUCGAUGAGUAGGGGGGCGUGGUGGUCGUGUCGAAGCAUUGCGUGCGAACGCGUGUGAAACGGCCACUAGUGCAGAUCUGGUGGUAGUAGCAAAUAUUCAAGUGAGAACCUUGAAGGGCGAAGCGGGGAAGGGUUCCAUGCGAACAUUGAUUGGGCAUGGGUGAGUCGUCCCUAAGCCGAGUGGCCAUUGCUUACUCAGGCGGCGAAAGGGAAGCGGGUUGAAAUUCCCGCACACGGAUGUGGAACAAGGCGGUGACGCAAAUUACUGGGGCGGUGACGUUGGCAGUGGCGCUGGGCAGAGUUUUCUUUUCUGUUUAACCGCCUGACGCUUGCUCUGUGGAAUCCGAUUGUCGGGAGAAACAGGCAAGGCACGGGUAGAGCGCCGGGCUUUUUCCGGCGUCCAGCUCGCCGCUGACGACCCUUGAAAAACUGUCCUCAGGUAUUAAAAAUCCACGCCGUGGCGUACCGAUAACCGCAUCAGGUCCCCAAGGUGAACAGCCUCUGCUCGAUAUGAAAAAUGCAGGUAAGGGAAGUCGGCAAAUUAGACCCGUAACUUUGGGAAAAGGGUUGGCUCUAGUGCUGCGUGAGGCCUGGUCGGUGGCUGUGCUGUUGUUUGGUGGCGAACGUUGCCUUGAGCGUUUUUUCGCAAGGAGGAUGUUCGGCAAUGUAGCUCUGGACAACCGCGGCCGGCGGACGCUCACAGCAUGCAGCAAACUAGAACUGCAACGGGCCAAGGGGAAUCCGACUGUUUAAUUAAAACAAAGCAUUGCGAAGGCCGGGGACGGUGAUUACGCAAUGUGAUUUCUGCUCAGUGCUCUGAAUGUCAAAGUGAAGAGAGAUUCAAUCAAGCGCGGGUAAACAGCGGGAGUAACUAUGACUCUCUUAAGGUAGCCAAAUGCCUCGUCAUCUAAUUAGUGACGGCGCAUGAAUGGAUUAACGAGAUUCCUACUGUCCCUAUCUGCUUCUAGCGAAAACCACAGCCAGGGGAACGGGCCUGGAAAAAUCGGCGGGGAAAGAAGACCCUGUUGAGCUUGACUCUAUUCUAAUUUUGUGGAGCAAGUUGGGAGGUGUAGCAUAGGUGGGAGACUUUACGUCGCCAGUGAAAUACCACUACUCCCAAUCUUGCUUUACUUACUAGGCAGGUGUGGAUGGGGUCAGUUUUCUGAUUCUUUUUUUGGAGCCAAGCCGGUUUUUUCUUCGGGAAAGACCAUAGGUGACCACCGCCUAGGACAGAUUUAGGAGGGGAGUUUGGCUGGGGCGGUACAUCUUCUACAAGACAACGAAGGUGUCCUAAGAUCAGCUCAGUGAGAACAGAAAUCUCACGUAGCGCAAAAGGGUAAAAGCUGGUUUGAUUUCGAUUUUCAGUGCGAGUCGAAAACGCGAAAGCGUGGCCUAUCGAUCCUUUCACGAUUCGAGAUUUGAAGCGAGAGGUGUCAGA
rnacentral:rRNA from 1 species